AGGAGGAGAGCUCCUCGCCCGGUACUGGAGAAAGAGGUAAGUUUAACCCCUUCCUCUCCCCAGAGUCUGGCGGGAGGGGGUCCCUGAGGAUGGGGGGACCCUCAGGGCACUAUAGUGCCAGGAAAACGAGUAUGUUUUCCUGGCACUAUAGUGGUCCUUUAAGGCUAUCCAACAAUUCUCCUUAACUUUAUCCAGAAUGUGUUAGAGCUACAUUGCUAAAGUCAUGGGAUUAGCUGGGUUAAUCCUUAACAUUAGAAUUGAUGAAGAAUUUCACAUUUUGGGCCAAAGUAGUUGAACUGUAAGCAUUGUCGACUUUUUUUUUCAAUUUGACUCUUUUGGCCUUAAAUUUAAAAUUCAACUUUGAAUUUUCACUAGUAAACAAUUCUGUAUGAACGCAACAACCGCUCAAGAGCCGCAGGCUAUCCCUGCUCUAAAUUUAUGGGUUUUCUUUUUUACUAAACUCGUUAUUGUCGUGAAUUAAAAUCCAAAUUGCAAAUUUGAGGCUAAAAUAGCUAAUCUGAAAAAAUAUCAAACUCAGCUAUAGCCACUGUUUGGCUAUUUUAGUUCUAACAUUAAAAUGUGGGUUGCAAUGUGCUAUCGUUUGGGGUUUAGUGAAAAACUCUAAUAUCUGCUGCUAUCAGCAUCUUUAUCAAAACUAUAUGUUAUAAAUAGCUGGUUUGAGGGCAAGAUCAUUGCUAUCUUUGUGGAAGCAGCUGAUUCGAUUAUGUUUUCAGUUUGGUGAGUGCAAACUAAAUUUGAGAUUCAUUUUUAAUUCAAUUUUAAAGUCCCAGCAAAUAAAAAUGUAAAAUAUGUUGCUCAAAUAUUUUAU